UUACCAUGCCAUUUGUUGUGCCAUUCUGUUUGUGAAAAAAUGGAAUACAUCUUGGAAACGAGUGCGGAGUACAUUUAUAGUAAAUUUCCAACAGACAAAUAGAAAUUAUUCGGACGAGAAACGUUCGUGAGCCCUGAGAUUACUCCUGACCACUCAAGUGGGGUUGCUGCCGGACUAUCAACUAGGACAGCUUUAGUCUGUGUUAAAUUUAGUCCGAUGCGUGGGGUCAUUUUGCAUUGACGGGAUCAUCGAAACAGCAUUUUUUUUCCGUAUCUUUCCGGCAUCGUUAGCCAUCGUGGGAAUUUAGCAGACUUGUUUAAAUUGGAUUUAAUGCUAAACCACCCUUAGCACAUAAGAUUGAGCUACUUGUUCCUCCCAUAGGUACUCCCAAUAAGAUCAGUGGUGACACUGUCAAGGUAACUGGAAGCAAGAUGAUUCUGAAAAUCUUUCUUGACCUUCCAAUUCGAUUUGUCAAUCGCUUUGGAGGAACGAUGUGCGGAAACGACAAUAUUUGUUAGUUUUCAGGAAUCUAAAAGAAGUGCGUCAUUUGAUAAUUAAGCAUACUAUACAAUGUUAAUUUGAUGGUUUGCAUACCAUUCAGACAACGAUUACAUUGAUGAUAGCAAAAGUGUUGCUGUCAAAUGUUCCACGAAGUAAAUUCUUUGGUGUUAAGGGAUUGUGUCAUCUUCCUAAAUACUGGGAAAGCCAAUUGAACAUACCGUUGCCGCAACGUGCUGUCGGGUAUAAAGCGACUCUGCUUCGCGAUGUUCAGAAGAAUUUCCGUCUCAAGCUGCUGACUCGAGGCGCACGGUUCAACAUUCUAUGAACGAAAAGUCCAGAAUAUGGUGAUGACCGGUGGCAGUAUGCUAGUAAGUCCAGUAGGAAUUCUGGCUGGCUCUAAUUAGAAUCGGUUGUGUCGCUGGAGCUGAAUCAUUUUCCGGGUGGAUUUACUGGGAUAGUGCAGGUGUAAUGAAAGGCAAUAAAGUUGGCAAAUUUUUCGCAACUUAUUAAAAUGUUGCUGUUUUAAAUAAAUUUCAUU